UGGUGAUACUCACCUUGGUGGUGAUGACUUUGACAAGGUAUUCUUCAUAUGCCCAUCUGUCUCGUGUGUGAUUUCGAACUUAUUUAGUCUGCUUCAUCUUGUUUGCUGUUUGUUUGGUUAGAACGUACCUCAAUUUUGCAUAUGUACUCUGUGUUUGUAGUCUUGCCUGCAUAAUAGGAAUGCAAAAGGGAUGUACACUUCACUGUUUAUUGAGUUUCUUACUUGACAAAAAAAAGUUAUAAUUGCUUGCAAUUCUCUGGUUCUAGUCUUCUACAGGCAGGAGAGCAAUGUGUGAGCAGCAUAAUAGGCUCUAAGUAUCUUACGCUUUUCAUUGGAUCCCUGGUUACAGAUAACAUCUAUGCUCGUUACCAGUGAGGUCGUGUGUCUUUCAGUUAUUAGAAUCUGCAUUAGGCAGUAUGUAUGUGCAUUUUGACAGCCAAAGAGAUGAAAUAACAUCCUUAUCUCACACUUACUGAUAACCUUCGCCCUUGUUCGCAUGAGUCUUCAGCACCUUUUUUAUGAUUCUGCAUGAUUUAUAUGUUCUCACAAAUAAUUCUGUUACCAGAGAAUUGUUGAUUGGCUGGCUGGGAGCUUCAAGAAUGAUGAGGGUAUUGACCUGCUAAAAGACAAGCAAGCUCUCCAGCGUCUUACAGAAGCAG
rnacentral:lncRNA from 1 species